UACGGGGGGGGCAAGCGUUGUUCGGAAUUACUGGGCGUAAAGGGCGCGUAGGCGGUUCUAUAAGUCAGGCGUGAAAUUCCUGGGCUUAACCUGGGGGCUGCGCUUGAGACUGUGGGACUUGAGGUCAGAAGAGGGUCGUGGAAUUCCCAGUGUAGAGGUGAAAUUCGUAGAUAUUGGGAAGAACACCGGUGGCGAAGGCGGCGACCUGGUCUGAUACUGACGCUGAGGCGCGACAGCGUGGGGAGCAAACAGG
rnacentral:rRNA from 1 species